rnacentral:SRP_RNA from 1 species
GCCGGGCUCAGUGGCGCAUGCCUGUAGUCCCAGCUACUCGGGAGGCUGAGGCUGGAGGAUCGCUUGAGUCCAGGAGUUCUGGGCUGUAGUGCGCUAUGCCGAUCUGGUGUCUGCACUAAGUUUGGCAUCAAUAAGGUGACCUUCCGGGAGCGGGGAACCACCAGGUUGCCUAAGGUGGGGUGAACCGGCCCAGGUCAGAAACGGAGCAGGUCAAAACUCCCCUGCUGAUCAGUAGUGGGAUUGCACCUGUGGAUAACCACUGCAUUCCAGCCUGGGCAACAUAGCGAGACCCUGUCUCU